rnacentral:lncRNA from 1 species
AAGGAAACCUCAGAGUAUUUUGCUUCUCUUCCUUUUUCCCUAGGGUUCUUCUCUCACUAUCUUUUUCCCAGACAGGGUAAUAGGAAUAGAAUAAAAUUUUGUUUCACUGAAACUCUGAAUUUAUAUUGGUAGCUUAGUGGGCUUUUGAGAGAGGUCAAAGUCUGAGAUUUUUUCUUUUAUUUAUUUAUUUAUUUAAUUAUUUUUUUUGUUUUUU